rnacentral:ncRNA from 1 species
GUUUGGUCCUAGCCUUGAGAUCAGUUCUUAAUUAAUAUACACAUGCAAGUCUCAGCACCCCAGUGAGAACGCCCUAACUUCCCUUUCAGGGAAAAGGAGCUGGUAUCAGGCUCAUCCUUGUGCCCAUAACACCUAGUCUCGCCACACCCCCAAGGGUCUUCAGCAGUGAUAAACAUUGAACAUAAGCGUCAGCUUGAUUCAGUUAAAUUAAUUAGAGCCGGCUAAUCUGGUGCCAGCCGCCGCGGUUACACCAUGUGGCUCAAAUUGAUCCCUUUCGGCGUAAAGCGUGAUUUAAGUCCCUCUCUAUACCUGGAAUCCAACUAAAACUAAGCUGUGACACGCUUGUUACCUGUGAAGCCCACAAACGAAAGUUAUUCCAACCUUACCCACUUGAAUUCACGUCAACUGAGAAACAAACUGGGAUUAGAUACCCCACUAUGCUCAGUCGUAAACUUUUACAUUACCCCCUCCACUCCCGCCAGGGUACUACGAGCUAAGCUUAAAACCCAAAGGACUUGACGGUACCCCAUAUCCCCCUAGAGGAGCCUGUCCUAUAAUCGAUAACCCCCGCUAAACCUCACCCUCUCUAGCAAUUUUCAGCCUGUAUACCUCCGUCGUCAGCUUACCACGUGAGCGUCAGUGAGCUUAAUGUUUUUUAACCACACGUCAGGUCAAGGUGCAACUUAUGAGACGGCCAGAGAUGGGCUACACUCUCUAAUAUAGACCAUACGAAAGACUACUUAUGAAACCUAGUCAGAAGGCGGAUUUAGAAGUAAAACGGAAUCACGAAAGUCCUUUUUAACCUGGCACUGGGGUGUGUACACACCGCCCGUCACCCUCCUCAACGCUAAUAAGCAGUUUUUAACAUUCUUUAGCUACACAGAAGAGGCAAGUCGUAACAUGGUAAGUAUACCGGAAGGUGUGCUUGGAAA